UUUUCCCUUUAUUUAGGGUGCUCAGGAAUUACAGAUUUCAAUUUCACCAACGGCGGAUAUGGACAACAUCCAGUCGGAGAAUUCGCCGUCAGCUCCGGCUCCGUCGCAUACGAAUGGGAACUCUGAUCAGUCAACCCGAGACCUACACAGUAGCGAUGAAACCAGUGGCAAUAUUGAGAAUUCUCCGACAAACAAUGGCUUUCCGGGGAAGAAAUCGUCUAAUCGGGAUAAUGAAAUGCUGAGGAGCUCCGAAAAUGACGGCCGCCGCCGUUCGUCGAGAUUGGCUGAUAAUGCUGGAGGUGAUGGUACCUGGAAGGAGGUAAACUACACCGAAUUAGACUUGCUUUUGGAGAAAUCUCCUCCGACGAAGAAGCAUAAGAGUGGGAAAAAGGAUUACUUCUUUAUUGGUGAGCCGGUACACGAGGAUGAGGCUCGGCGCCUCUGGCCUUGGCGGUAUGACAAAACCGAGGCUCCACAAAAUUAUAGACGAUCACUGUACUAUGAGACUGAUGAUGAUGAUGAUGAUGACGAUGAGGAUGAUAAUGACGACGAUGAUGUGAUUGUUAUGAACAUAAAGUGCCACUAUUCUAAAGCUGAAAUACAUAAGAUUGUUUUUGAUCUUGGUGAUUGUGCAUACGUCAAGGGUCCAGAGGGAGGUCCUAAUUAUGUUGGCAAAAUUCUAGAAUUUUUUGAGACGAUAGAUGGUGAAGACUAUUUUAGGGUUCAGUGGUUUUUCAGAGCUGAAGAUACGGUAAUAAAGGAUGAUGGGAGAUCUCAUGACAACAAACGGUUAUUCUAUUCUACUUUAAUGAACGACAACUUAUUAGACUCUAUAGUUUCAAAAGUACAAGUUGUUCAAAUAACACCCGAUGUUAAUUUGAAAGCAACAUCUAUUCCACCUUGUGACUUCUAUUUUGAUAUGAAAUACUCACUGGAUUACUCGACAUUCAAUGCAAUUACAGACAAUCAUGCAGAUAUUAGUAGUUUGUCCUCUCUUCCUCACCCUCCGACAAUGUCAACCAAAAACAAACAUGGAACCUGCAAAACUGGAACCAUGCAUACUGCAGAUGAAAUGUCUAACAAGGAAGUCUGUAAACCUGAGCUAGCAUUGUUGGAUAUGUACUCUGGCUGUGGAGGAAUGUCCACGGGACUGUGCCUUGGCACUAAAGUUUGUGAUGUAGAUCUCGUGACGAGAUGGGCUGUUGACAUGGAUAGAGCAGCAUGUGAAAGCUUGAAGCUAAAUCAUCCAGAGACCCAAAUUAGGCAUGGAUCUGCAGAGGAUUUUCUUGAUUUGUUGAAGGAAUGGGACAGCUUGUGCAGACAAUAUGGGAGCCAUGAAGAAAAAGAACUCGUGACAAGGCUAACUGGAGAAGCUGAUGAAGACAUACAAUCAAAAGAGGAUCACGAAAAAUCCUGUGAAUAUGAAGUGGAAAAACUAGUAGAUAUACGUUUUAGUGCUAUCACAAAAUCAGGCAAUCGGGGACUUAAGUUUAAGGUGCGCUGGCUUGGAUAUGACCCAACUGACGAUACAUGGGAGCCAAUUGAGGCCUUGAGAAAUUGCCAAGAGCGGAUACGAGAUUUCGUGCAACAGGGAAUGAAAGAAAAAAUCUUGCCACGUCCGGGAGAUGUUGCUGUAAUUUGCGGUGGUCCUCCAUGCCAAGGAAUUAGUGGCUCCAACCGGUUUAGAAAUGUUGAUACUCCUCUUGAUGAUGAAAAAAAUCGCCAAAUUGUGAUUUUCAUGGAUACAAUUGACUUCUUAAAGCCAAAGUUUGUUCUAAUGGAAAACGUAGUGGAUAUCUUGAGGUUUGCUAAUGGCAUUCUAGGAAGAUAUGCUGUAAGCCGUUUAGUUCGUAUGCAUUAUCAAGCAAGGCUUGGGAUUAUGGCUGCUGGUUGCUAUGGGCUUCCUCAAUUUCGCUUACGUGUUUUCUUAUGGGGUGCCCAUCCUCAUGAGGUAUUGCCGCAGUUUCCCCUUCCUACACAUGACGUGGUGAUCCGGUAUGGAUUUCCUAAUGAUUUUGAGCGUAAUGUUGUUGCAUAUGAUGAAGGGCAGCAUCGGGAUCUAGAAAAAAUCAUUCUUCUUGGCGAUGCUAUUACUGAUCUUCCUCCUGUUGGAAAUGAUGAGAAACGUGACAAGAUAUCGUACCAAAAUCCGCCUGAAACUGACUUUCAAAAGUAUAUCAGAGCAGCUAAACGUGAUAUGACAGGUUCACCUUCCGAUGGCACAUCUGUAGGCAGUAAUCCUACUCUUUACGAUCAUUUACCUCGUACUUUGAAUGAUGAUGACUAUAUGCGAGUGUGUAAAGUACCAAAAAGAAAGGGUGCUAAUUUUAGAGACCUCCCAGGCGUUAUUAUUGGAUCUGACAAUGUAGUUCAACGAGCGGAAGAGCACGAGUUGAUGCCAUCAGGGAAGCCAUGGGUAACAAGAUGGAUCAAUUUUUAUUCCUUGCCUUUUUUUUGGCUAAAAUAUAUUUUCCUCCAAUGCAUUUCUAGCAAUAUAGCAGGUGCCCGAUUAUGCCAUUAAUUUACGUGAUGGAAGGACCAGACAAGCAUUUGGACGACUGUGGUGGGAUGAGACUGUACCAACCGUAUUUUGUUCUCCGGAUCCACACAUACGGCCAGUUUUACACCCUGAACAAGACAGGGUCCUCACUAUACGUGAAUGUGCAAGGCUACAGGGCUUUCACGACCACUAUAUGUUCUUUGGAAACCUGAAAGAAAGAUACAGUCAAGUGGGAAAUGCAGUAGCUGUUUCAGUGGGACGCGCUCUAGGAUAUUCACUUGGUAUGGCAGUGCAGAAACUGAGUGGAGAAAACGAACAUCUCACGACUCUUCCCCCGAAAUUCUCCCACUCUACAACUGUUGAGCUGCAAUCUUUACUUCACAAGUUGAAAGAAUAGUUAGUUAAUUCAUUUUUGUACUCUAUAUUUUUUACUGGGAGAUGAUGAACCUUUUCUCCCCAAAACCAAUUCAUAAUUUGUGACACAUAAGCGGCAUAAUUUUUUGAUAAA